CUCCCCAAGUUGCUUGACACCGGGACAAACCAGGAAGUUCACUGCGUCUGGUUCCUCCUCUUCUGCCAACUCACCCAGGCUACCGUUCCGUUUCCUGGCACAGAGUGGGGGGCGAGCUCCUCAGUACCCAGAGCGUCUGGUGUGUAGCCAAAGGCCUCCAGUUUAUUGGCCUGUAUGUUCAGUGUCAUGCUCAAGACAAGGGCCACCCUAUCACUUCACAUACCUCAAAUACAGAAAGUGCCUGGAAAUGUUGAUAAGGGGAGUUUCCCUGGACAAGCACUCUUCUCUUGUCUACUGUCAUGUUAGAUGUGCCUUUCCACCAUGAUGAUGAGGUCUCCCCAGCCAUGUGGAACUGUGAGUCCAUUAAACCUCUUUUUCCUUAUAAAUUA